rnacentral:lncRNA from 1 species
GUUACAUUCCCAGGACGUACUUAAAAACCAGAGUAAUCUGAAUGUAACUUUCCUGUUUAAAUACUUUAUUAUCAUGCAAUGGUAGGACGAGGGCAUAGUUUAAUAAAAAGAAAAAAAAAAUAUCAAAUCACAUGAAAUACAGUCCAAAGCAAUUUCAAGGUAACCCCUGGUCGUGAUCAGAGAGAUUUUACUCUACCAAUACAACAAACAACAUGGCCUUGAGGAUGUUGAGAGAGAGAGAGAGAGAGACUCUCUUUCCCUCUCUCCCUCAAGUUGUGUCGGGAUGAUCCCAAUGAGUUUAAAUGAUCAUGAGUCGUGGCUAUCCGUAGGACCUCCAAAUUUGGCCAUGUAAUUACAUUGUUCUUUUCCCUCACUUUUGCUCUUAUUACUUUCAAGGCCCAAGUAAUAAACGUUUAACUCGCAAGUUGGAGUAAACUUGGAAUUAAUAAUAACAUUAAUAAUUAAAAAUAACUUAAAAACAGAGUGUAACGUCAGAGUCCACACUCCUUGCUUUCGGUAAUUCAAUAAGAUUUAUUAGUAGAGGCUAAUCAAACAAAUAAACAAUGCAUACACAUUUGAAAUAGGCUAGUAUAUGUUGCUACUAAAACUAGUCAUUGACUGAAUGGAAAGUAGGCUAAAUUAACAUAGUAAAACAGUCAUAGACAGUGAUACAGUUACCACUCCAUUGAUUGUCAGCUGAGAGUAAGAGAGUGAGUGAGCUAUUCAAAGGGCUUUAAGCAGGUUAGCCCCUCCUUCUGCUGGACACUCGUCCCUUAGGAUGUAACACAACCAGAGUGCCUCCUGGGGGAAGGGGUAUUGCAUUGGAAGGGAAUGGAGGGGGAGUUUAUCAACAGCCCAACUGAUUUUGCCCGGUGAAAGGCCAUGUGCUUCACAGAGGACUCCAUUAUUGCCUAAGGGUAGAAUGGGGGCGUGAAUCCUUGUAUUAGAACACAAUAACACUUCAUUGGCAUAAUACUUGGCUGUUAAUAUGUCCCCCCCACUUAUUACAGACAUAAAAUUCUACAUAUUUAGCUGCCUAUGGUUCUCUUUUACAUUUUCAAAGAUGUAAGUGAAGUUUGGACCUUUUUUUUUCUUUUUCUUUUCUUCUUCAUUGCAAGUUUAAAACAUUAAUACAGACUUAUAAGCGAGGUACCAUUACAUAUUGGAUAUACAAUUAAUAUUAUAUUCUAAAUUCAGACUGUACCAAGCAGACGUUAAGACAAAUUACAUAAAACCAUUAUUAGACAAAUUAACAAAACAGAAUGGAGUGCUGGUCGGCAAAUUGGAGACUCAUUUGUUGGUUUCAAGGAGUAUCAUCAGUGGGUAAACAGGUUGUUUACUUAUUUGGGGCCUCUGUUGAUUCAAAGCUUAUGGAGGAUCUAUUUAAAAAUAGAAAUGUGGGAGGGAUAAUCACCCAGGGGUCCGGAUUUAACCCCUUAAGGACACAUGAUGGAAAUAUUCCGUCAUGAUUCCCUUUUAUUCCAGAAGUUGUGUCCUUAAGGGGUUAAGGACCAAACUUCUGGAAUAAAAGGGAAUCAUGACAUGUCACACAUGUCAUGUGUCCUUAAGAGGUUAAAGGAGAUACAUCUUUCCAUAUUGUAUUGAUAUUUAAGCUGGCUUAGAACAUGGGCCCAGGUGGGGACUUGUUUUAACCAGUGUCUUGAUAGUACCAUCUUUGUAA